GCCUUUGUGGUGUAGUGGUCAGCACGCUCGACGCGUAUUCGAGAGGUCUGUAGUUCGAGUCCCGGCUAGGGCG
rnacentral:tRNA from 1 species